rnacentral:sRNA from 1 species
GCCGGGCAUGGUGGCUCAUGCCUGUAAUCCCAGCACCCUGGGAGGCUGAGGUGGGUGGAUCACAUGAGGUCAGGAGUUCAAGACCAGCCUGGCCAACAUGGUGAAACCCCAUCUCUA